UUUUGUUUUGUUUUGUUUUGUUUUGUUUAUAUAGUUUUGGCUUACGCGUCUAUCGCUUGUGUUACAGAUGUCACGUAUGAAGGAAGACGAAUAUGAAGUGAAUUUCGUUAAGAAACGAGGAUUACUUAACUUGGAGAAGAUUUUAAGUAACAGCGAGCCAGCAAUUCCCCGGGACAAUAAUGGCGCUAUGCCAUUUCUACCGGAGAACAGGAAUGACAAUGAGAUGGCUGACAGCGGACAAGAACAGGAUCCGCUAAAGUUCAAGAACAAAGGACAUCGAACCUCGAUUGCCAAAGCUAUUGACUAUGUGUCGCGUGUUCUCUUUCCUUUUGCCUUCAUUUCUUUUAACAUCUUUUAUUGGUAUCACUUUUUGAAUGCCAUGUAGAUUAAAAUGUCUUGAUAGCUGCCAGACUGUUUUCUGAAACAAAAGGAAAACAAGCUGGACCGUAAUUUGCAAUCAAAUAUCCAUUUCAGAAGUAGUCCUGUCAUAGAUUAUUCUAAUUGUUCAUUUAUUUAAAAGAGAAAUAAAAAACGGCUGAAACUGGAUCAAGACAAUGGUCUCGCAGUGAUUUCAUAAUUUCACCAAUAACGGUAGAAACGCGUUGAUUCAUACAUUCGGUCCUUUGUUCGUCCGCUUUGUCUAUUUGUUUGUUUGAUCGACUGAGUGAUUGCAGCCGGCGGGGCCUUGGAAAUGAAGGAAACAAAGGUUGAUUCUCGCUAUUGUAACACUGGUCUCCUUCUUGAAAAUAUCCACUGGUAGGUCCCUAACUAAAACUGUUUGACUGCAGCAACUAUCUACAACCCAUCAAGAAGUUUUAAACUGGCUUACGAGGAGACAUUUUCGGUGAAUUCCUCCGUAAUGAAACAUAUACAUGUACAUGCUCCUACGUUUAAAAAGCAAGAAUUGUCGAAGCACUAAUGCAAGGGUUUCAGUAAGAGAUUGUUAUAACAAGUGGAUAUAUCUGACAAUGAAACCAGGGUUGAAUCCUGUGUUUUCAGAGUCUCCCUUUCCUGGCGCCAAGGCCCCGCCGGCUAAGAAAGACAGGCUGCCCUGGGACUCAACUUGAAUUUGCAUUGCAAAUAAUUCUUCGCUCCUUUUGCUUUGCACGAGGCGCUUGAAAGUUCGAUUUUCUUCCUUCAAACGUUGCCUAAUGCCUUGUCUAUAUUACGAGAAAUGUUCCCAAACGUGUCCUAGACACAAAAUUUUGCCGGUGGGACAAAUUGGAGGGAAAUUCGCUCAAUUCAAGUGCCAGAAACGGCAAGUGAGCUCAAGAUAUCACUGAUGUGUUGUCUUUGACCAUCCUAGUAGAUAAAACAUGAAGAACAUGAGCAUAAAGUGACAGGCCUGGAAUGCUGAAAGACCAAUGGUGGACGUCAGAUAAAGCUAUUGAAAAGGCAAACCAAGUUGUAACAACAUAGGACAACUAAGAUCAAUGGAGGAGUCAGAUACAGCUAGAUCAGGCCAAACAAGAAACACAUGCAUGUACACGUAAACACCAACAGAUCAGUGGAGGAAGUGAAAUAGGUCAGUCA